AAUGUAAUGUAAUGUAAUGUAAUGUAAUGCCUUUAUUUGUCCCCCAGUGGGGCAAUUAGUUUUGCAGCAGUACGAGCACACAAAAUUACAAAAAAAUACAUAAAUACACAUAAUAUAAUAAA